CGGGGGGCACGGGAGGGCAGAUGGUGGUCUCCAUCCCUGGGUCCGGACGCUCUCCGCCUAUAUGCUGCUCACCCACCCCGCCUUCCAACCGUGGGCCCUGACGACCGCCAGCCAAGCCGGGCCCCGACUCGGCGGAAGUGACCUACCCACGGAUAUCAGCCGGAUUGUGGGCGCCCUGGGACACCUACCACCGCUCCGGGAUAUCGAGACCAGCCCCCUGUCCCCCGGCCCGUGGUGCUGGGCAACCGCGUUGUGGGGUAACCCGUUGCUCCCCAAUACCGGCGAGGCAGACCCAGACAGUUUGAACCGCCGCCCGGGCCUGGAGACGCACUUCGUGGGGAUCGCUACAUGCAGGAAACUGCAAACGGUGGGCGACCUAGUGCGGAUCUGGGACCUAGUGGUGCAUACUCGAGUGGCCUCCCUCCCCAGGUCGACCUGGCCCGAAUGGGUCAGGACACACCUCGACCCAUCAACCCCAGCACCCACGCGGGACAGGUCAGCGACCCUGGCAGCCCUUAAGACGCUACAUGGCGCUAUCAACCCGGCCUGGCUCGAAGCUGCAAGAGCAGUGGAAACCCAACAGCAACAGCAACCCCAGCCGCAGGCACAGCUGCAGCCACAGCCGCAGUCACAGCCACAGCCGCAGCCACAGCCGCAGCCACAGCCGCAGCCACAGCUGCAGCUACAGCUGCAGCUACAGCUGCAGCUACAGCCGCAGCCUCAGCCGCAGCCACAGCCGCAGCCACAGCCGCAGGUACAGCCACAACAGCUGCAAACACAACCACAGCUACAGACACAGCAUCAGCCGCAGCCGCAACAGCAGCAACAGCCGCAGCAACAGCUACAGACGCAGCCGCAUGAGCAGCAACCCCAACAGCAGCAGCCAGAGAUGCCAACGGCGGGGGACAUGGCGGCUCCAAGCACCCCCAACAGCACUCAGGCGAUGGCUANNNNNNNNNNNNNNNNNNNNNNNNNNNNNNNNNNNNNNNNNNNNNNNNNNGAAGACUCAGUACCAUCGUUCCUCCAGGCCAUGGACACCUUUGCCCGGGCAUCUGGCCAACGCCUAAAUCUCGACAAAGUGGAGCUGCUGUGGAUUGGCCAAUUAAACCAACAGCAGGCGCAACCUGCAACCCAGGCCGGGCCCCAAUCAGCUGCCCCUCAGCAGGAGUCAAUAGGAGGUCUCAAGGUGGUGACCACCGCCACCGCCCUGAACCUGCCGAUUGACAACCAGCCAUCCCCGCCACAGCCCGACUGGAUGAAGAGACUCGGGGAAGCCAAGCGGCGACUGCAGCGGCUCUCCCGCUUCCCGCUAUCAGCAUUCAGUCGAGCCACAGCGGCAUCGGUGUACGGAAUGCAGACAGUCACCUGGCACAUGGAGCAUGGUGGGCCGCCCCCCAACCGUACGCUGGACGAAAUAGAACGCCUAACGGCCCGCCUCGUCGACCGGCAGCAGGGCCCAGAAGACCCCGGCCGCCGCUUGACAGGGGUGCCUAAGGAUCUCUUGACCGGCCACCCGUCGGCUGGAGGCUUUGGCCUGCUGCCCCUCCAGCAACACAUCCAGGCUCGGCAUGCGGUAUGGGCUGUGCGCUUCAUCAUAGCGGCCCUCGGGCUAUCUAACGUGUCAUGUGGGCCAGGGACAGGUGGAGCUGCAGGAACCACAGGUGGUACCGGGGGGCACGGGAGGGCAGAUGGUGGUCUCCAUCCCUGGGUCCGGACGCUCUCCGCCUAUAUGCUGCUCACCCACCCCGCCUUCCAACCGUGGGCCCUGACGACCGCCAGCCAAGCCGGGCCCCGACUCGGCGGAAGUGACCUACCCACGGAUAUCAGCCGGAUUGUGGGCGCCCUGGGACACCUACCACCGCUCCGGGAUAUCGAGACCAGCCCCCUGUCCCCCGGCCCGUGGUGCUGGGCAACCGCGUUGUGGGGUAACCCGUUGCUCCCCAAUACCGGCGAGGCAGACCCAGACAGUUUGAAC
rnacentral:lncRNA from 1 species